UACCUUCGAGCUCCACAGUUACACACCACAGUUUCACAAGCAGCUUCAGACUCCAUUCACACUCCACAGUUUCACAAGCAGCUUCACCUCCUCAGUGCCACAUUCUUCCAUCACCGCUGUUCCAUAACCACAAUCAUCCACCGCAUUCUUCCAUCAUCAACACCUUUGGGACUUCCAUCACUCUCGUCGUCGUUGUCAAUCAUCACUCUCGGUCCAUUGAACAAACAGAACCUGGAGUUUUUCUGAGCUGGGUUGGAGCUGAAUCCAAGGUAGCAGUUUGAUGGAGCAUCCACCUCAUGCCGUUUUUAUUAAUGUGAACCUCAUGACUAUGAAUGCAAUGGUCUCAACAAGUCCAGAGCUGUCAGCACAGGCACCCUUGUUCUUGGCAUGCUAACAACGGUGUUAUCCGUCUUGUAUUCUGCUGUUCGUGCUGGAUCUUCAACUGCACUUUUAGCAUCUCCACCAUCUUCACCAAAAUCUGAAUUCUUAUAAACUAUAACAAAACAUUGUUGGAAAAUUAUUAGCUACUGCAAUUGGGAUUGCAAAGAAGCCAGAAAAUACUGAAAAAUUCAUUGUUGGUUCUGGAACAUAUUCUCCUGCUUGAAACUUAUACAAAGGACUCUAUACCCGCACUUCAUAAGAUAAGGAAAUAUCUUGUUGAGGCAACUGAAGAAGCAUCGAUUGCAUAUAAUAAAGCAGUAACUCGCUUGCGUGAAUACCAAGGUGUUGAUCCUCACUUUGACAACAUUGCAAGGCAGUAUCAUGACAUCGUAAAGAAAUUGGAGAAUAUGCAAUGGACAAUCCACCAAGUUGAAAUGGAUCUGAAACGUUUACCAGAUAACACCACCAGCUAGGAGUUUUUAUUCAUUUGGCCUCUUAACA